rnacentral:rRNA from 1 species
AGCUCCAAUAGCGUAUAUUAAAGUUGUUGCAGUUAAAAAGCUCGUAGUUGAACUUUGGACUUGGCUGGGCGGUCUUUGCGAAUGCAUUGUACUUCUCUGGCUGAGUCUUUCCUUCUGGCAAACUAUCGUGCUCUUUAUUGAGUGCGUUAGGGAACCAGGACUUUUACUUUGAAAAAAUUAGAGUGUUUAAAGCAGGCUUACGCUUGAAUACAUUAGCAUGGAAUAAUAAAAUAGGACUUUGGUUUUAUUUUGUUGGUUUUCGAAACCGAAGUAAUGAUUAAUAGGGAUAGUUGGGGACAUUCGUAUUAUAACGUCAGAGGUGAAAUUCUUGGAUCGUUAUAGGACGCCCAUAUGCGAAAGCAUCUGUCAAGGAUGUUUUCA